rnacentral:rRNA from 2 species
AGAGUUUGAUCCUGGCUCAGAUUGAACGCUGGCGGCAGGCUUAACACAUGCAAGUCGAGCGGGGAUGAGGUGCUUGCACCUUAUCUUAGCGGCGGACGGGUGAGUAAUGCUUAGGAAUCUGCCAUUUAGUGGGGGACAACAUUCCGAAAGGAAUGCUAAUACCGCAUACGUCCUACGGGAGAAAGCAGGGGAUCUUCGGACCUUGCGCUAAAUGAUGAGCCUAAGUCGGAUUAGCUAGUUGGUGGGGUAAAGGCCUACCAAGGCGACGAUCUGUAGCGGGUCUGAGAGGAUGAUCCGCCACACUGGGACUGAGACACGGCCCAGACUCCUACGGGAGGCAGCAGUGGGGAAUAUUGGACAAUGGGCGGAAGCCUGAUCCAGCCAUGCCGCGUGUGUGAAGAAGGCCUUUUGGUUGUAAAGCACUUUAAGCGAGGAGGAGGCUACUAGUACUAAUACUACUGGAUAGUGGACGUACUCGCAGAAUA